rnacentral:tRNA from 1 species
GCCGGAGUGGCGAAAUUGGUAGACGCAGGGGAUUCAAAAUCCCCCGGUGGCAACACCUUGCCGGUUCGAGUCCGGCCUCCGGUACCA